AAGCCGACCUUGGCAAAAUUUGAACUCAGAACGUAAAGACAGAUGAAAUACUGCUAAGCAUUUUGCCUGGCGUGCUAAUGUUUCUGCCAGUUUGCAUUUUAUAUAUAUAUAUUAGAAAGUAUUAUUUAUUGCUGAAUUUUGCCAAACAACCCAACAGGAAUUGAUGUGAUAAUGUUUAUAUCUAAAGGGUUAUUAAAACAAUUUUUCAAAUACUGUUAAACAUACUUUUGGGCUUGGUACCACAUUUCAAUAUACAUAUACAUUUGAGAUUGUUGUCUACUAUAUGCUGAAUAUUCAGAAAAUCUCUCUCUAUAUAUAUAUAUAUCACAUUUCAUUUUUUAUAGACUCACACCCCAGCUAAUAUAGCUUUUAAUGUAAAUCUUAUAAAAAUGUUAUAACUGACAAUGGCUUUACAUGUAGUUAUUUCUCCACGACAUUGAUCACCAAACAUUACUCAUCAAUACCCAUGAAUAUUUUGACUACACUUUUUUUUAACACAUUUACUGACUUCAGUAUCCUCAUAUUUACAUAUUUCCUACAUUGACUGGUAAUAAUAAGUUCAGGUGCCUAAAUGAACAGGUGGAUUAGUGUAUAUUUAUCAUUUCACCAAUUUCUCAUCCUUCAACAAUUUAACAUAUUGAGUAUUGCUUGUUAAUUGUUUUUUCUUCAAAGAUCUGAAAUUUAAAAUUUUACCAUAAUCCAUUCACUCUUGUGUACAAGGACACACUCUUGGAAUUGUAAACUACUCAUCAGUUUUCACUUAGUCCAAUGUUGUUUUUUUGUUCUAUCUUGCUAUCAGUUAUGAGGGUCAGGGAAGGUUCAGUACCUUACUUUAGGCACAGUGGUGGGAUAGGUUUAAUCCCACAACUUGUUCAACCGAGAGGCUGAUACCAUAUCCAUCUGGCCAUUGCAACUCCACAUGGCUGCAAUGUAGUCAACUUAUGUGUAUAUAUAUGUGUGUGUGUAUAAUUUAUCUUGAGUGUUUUUAAGUGUAACAGUUUUAAAGUUCAUUAUCUUAUUUUAUUUAUUGUUUAUUUGUAUUGAAGUUUUCUUUUUACAAGUUUUCAAUCUCCAGCUUUUAACCGUUAAAAUUAACUGUGACAGUUGAUGUGCUGAAAAAUAGCUUCAUUUAUGAGCUGUAACUGAUUUGCUGAAAAGAAAAACAACAAAACAAACUAUCUAUUUUUAAAACAAGCUAAAUUAACUGAACUUAUAUUGAUAUGACAUUCUCAAAAUAUGAUACUUUGAAAAGUAAAAAUAAAUUUGUCACUUGUGCCUUUUCUAUUUCUAAUCUAACAUAUUUAAUUGGUAAAUGUUAGCUCUGGUUAUUUAAAUGCCAUUUUGGCAAGUAAGAAGGUUGCAGGUUCAGAUCAUAACCUUAGGAAAUCUUUUAAAAGAAGGAAUCAUUAUAAUGGGUAAAUCUUUGACAGGAAAAUUCUUUGAUUAGCUUAUAAUAAUUGUGAUGGUAGUAAUUAAUAGUAGUGGUUGUACUUAUUUAUCUCUGAGGGGUAACUUUCAUGUUUAUCAAAUAUUAUCUGAUAGUAAAUCAGAAAGGUUGAGAUUUUUUAAAACAUUGAACAAUGUAAUUUAUUAAGGAUUUUUAUCACUCAUCAUGACUAAUAUAAAAUUGUCUAGUUAGUAAAAUUUAAUUUUAAAAGUUAAAAAAAUUUUUUUAGUUCAGUAUUUGAAAUGACUGUUAUAAUAUCAAUAUACCGAUUCUGUAUCAAUACUAAUGAUGUAAUUAUACCUAUCCUUCUUUAUCAAAAUUUGAAUUAAUUACCGUUCUGUUACAGAACACAAAAGUAAUUCACUUUUGCAUAUUUUUCUUGAGAGCAUUUCCUUGCAAUUCCUUCAGUUACAUUUUUUUUCUUGUUUAUCUCAAUUCUUUCUCUUUACAAAUGAUACAUUCAUAAAAUAAACCCAGCUCUCUUCAAGCAAUGAUUUUAAUGUUUUGUUUAGAUUUAACCCUUUUGAUAGGAAACCACCUGAGACUGUCCUAGUUAAACCUUGCAUCAAAAUUUCGUAAUUUAUAUUCCAAACUUGAGCUUAAUACAUUCUACUAAAUUUUACUGAAUUCUUCAUUAUUUUCAAAAUUAAUUGAAACAAAAACAGUGUAUUUCAAUGAGAAUAUGGUAACAAAAGAGUUAAUGUUAUGUUAAUUGGAAGCAAUUGGUAAUAAAUAAUGUUGGGUCCAAUUGUGCACAAUUAAUUCUUGUUUGUGCUCAUUUUCCAUUAGAGAAUCUACCGGUUGUGAAUUUUUAGGCAGUGAUUUAGAAUGAAAACCUAUAUUUGUAUAUUCAGUUUUCACUUUCUCCUUUUUCAUGUUAUGUCUUCAGAGAAUUAUUUCUCGCUUGUCCAAAGAAGUACUUAAAAAACACGAUUUUCUUAGUUUUCAGUAUUUUACCCUUUAUAUGUAUGUUGUGCAUGUCCUGUGAUUAUUUUCACAUGCUGCUCUCAGAUCACUAAACUCCAGAAUUUCUUUGCUUAAUUAUUUUUAGCUCUGGUUGUCUCUUGAAGCAGAUUCUCCACCCAAAUGCUUUGUAGAACUUGUCAAACAUAUCUCUUAAAACAUAUACAAAAAUUAAAUUAUUUAAAAAAAAACAAACAAAAACCAUCUAUCGAACUUUUACAUUAUUUUAAGAAUGAUUUUUACAAGGAUUAGAAAUCCACUGAAUUGUCAGUAUUAUAUCUAUUUCGUUUUUAUUUAUUUGAACUAUACAAAAUAAUUCUUGACUCAUAAAUUACAUGAUCCUAAAAGCCCUGUUACCCAAGAGAUGCAACUGAUUCACUUUAUCUGCAUUUUUGACAAAAAUGCAGGCAUAGAAGUCAAAUGUGGAACUUAUUCACUGUCCAAACCUUUUGGUAAUGCAUUGCACCUUCCAGCACACUGUUUGGAUUGUAUGUAUGUGUGUGUACAUAUAUAACAGCAAUUCUCCAGCAGAUGGCAGUGCCCAGCAUGGCUGUAGCUCUUGAGCUGGAACUAGUGUGGUAUAACAGAAUAUAUACCACACUUACACAUGUCUAUAUAUGUACACACACACACACAUAUAUAUGUGUGUGUGUUUUCAGCUAAUGUUUUCACUCUGUCUCUACUUCUGUACUAUUCUCUUUGUACAUUUUUCCUAAGAAAUGUACAAAGUGAGAAACUUGGAGUAAGAGCAGAGUAAAUCAGAUUCAAAUGAAUAAAUAAUCUUUACAACUUGUAUCGAGUUACCUUACUCCCAUUUGUACACCCAAUCAACCUGUGCACCAGGUGUGGCAUAGGUGUAGGUGUGACUGUGUGGUAAGAAUAUUGCUUUCCAACCACAUGUCCAGGUUCAGUCCUAUUGCAUGACACCUUGGGCAAGUAUCUUUUACUAUUUCCUCAGGUUGAUCAAAUCCUUGUGUGUCACUGUGUAUGUGUUUGUUCCUGACCACCACUUGACAACUGGUGCCGGUUUGUGUAUGUCUCCAUAACUUAGCAGUUCAGCAAAAGAAACCAAUAGAAUAAGUGCCAGACUUUUAAAAACAGUGACUCCUGUGGCUGACUGAAACAAGUAAAAGGGGAAAAAAGAAAAAUGUACACAUAGAUAGUUGAGUAAGCUCUUCAGUAAAAAUUGAAGUGCUAGUCAUCUAAAACAUUACAAUAAAUUUGACUAUUAUUGAAGAAGCUUUAAAAGAUAAAAUAUUAUGCACAUAUGUACGUCUCUAUACAUAUUUUAUAGAUAAUCACUCAUAUGUCUAAUGCUAGUCUUUACUCAUUGCUGUUAUCUGUUAGCAUGUUAUUUUGUAUAAUUUGAAUCUUCACCAGAUUUCUUUCUAUCACAUGAUGCAUAUUUGAGAGAACUGUACUUGCCAUAUAAUCAUUAACUUAUUAAUUAGGUCCUUCUGAUGAACAAACUUUAUGAACAAAAUUAUAAGGUAUGUUUAAGGGAGCAGACAUUGCUUUCACACAAUGUUUUCUGGGUUUCAAUCAAAAAAUGAAUGUACAUUUGUGAAUUAUUUGGUUUUCUUAUAUUGCCAGAAAUGACAAUUUCUUACAUGAAGAAAAAGGGGGUUUUUUUAAUGUGAUUUCACAGCUGCUAUCAUUUCAAUGUUUAUAUUUUUUUUCUUUACUGCAGUAAACUAAAUUCAAGAAUGUUAUUUAUAUUUUAAUUAAAAUAAUUACAAAGAGCUCCUUUUUGGAAUGAAAUGAGCAGUGAGUACCUUUUGAAAAUGUAGUCAAAGAUACAAAUUGUUUGAAAUACUGAUUUUUUUUUUCAAUUCAGUUUGUAUGUAAGAUUUUUUUUUUGUUAAAUAAAAAUGGGAAAAACA